rnacentral:rRNA from 1 species
CUGGCUCAGGAUGAACGCUAGCGACAGGCCUAACACAUGCAAGUCGAGGGGCAGCACAAGGAGUAAUCUGAGGUGGCGACCGGCGCACGGGUGAGUAACACGUAUGCAACCUGGCUGUAAGAGGGGAAUAACCCGGAGAAAUCCGGACUAAUACCGCAUAAUACUUAGAAUCCGCAUGGAUUUUAAGUUAAACAUUUAUGGCUUACAGAUGGGCAUGCGUAUGAUUAGCUGGUUGGAGAGGUGACGGCUCCCCAAGGCAACGAUCAUUAGGGGUUCUGAGAGGAAGGUCCCCCACACUGGUACUGAGACACGGACCAGACUCCUACGGGAGGCAGCAGUGAGGAAUAUCGGUCAAUGGACGCAAGUCUGAACCAAGCCAAGUCGCGUGAAGGAAGAAUGUCCUAUGGAUUGUAAACUUCUUUUGAAGGGGAAUAAAGUACGGUACGUGUACCGUUUUGUAUGUACCCUUCGAAUAAGGAUCGGCUAACUCCGUGCCAGCCGCGGC